rnacentral:rRNA from 1 species
CAAUAGCGUAUAUUUAAGUUGCUGCAGUUAAAAAGCUCGUAGUUGGAUUUCGGGUGGGAAUGGCCGGUCCGCCGUUUCGGUGUGCACUUGCUACGCCCACCUUGCUGCCGGGGACGUGCUCUUGAGUUCACGCUCGGGACACGGAGUCGGCGAGGUUACUUUGAGUAAAUUAGAGUGUUCAAAGCAGGCCUACGCUCUGAAUACAUUAGCAUGGAAUAACACGAUAGGACUCUGGCCUAUCUUGUUGGUCUGUAGGACCGGAGUAAUGAUUAAGAGGGACAGUCGGGGGCAUUCAUAUUUCAUUGUCAGAGGUGAAAUUCUUGGAUUUAUGAAAGACGAACUACUGCGAAAGCAUUUGCCAAGGAUGUUUUCAUUAA